rnacentral:misc_RNA from 1 species
ACCAUAGUUACCAGAUUUGCCUUCUCCCCUUAGGUUCCAGAAUCCAGAUCAUGUGUUCCAAAUCGCGAGGCAAACCUUUAUCACAAAAAUGUUCAAAUAAUAAACUGAAUGCCAAAUAUUACGGACCAUACCUCGUAAUCCAAAAGAUUGGCUCUACUACUUUAUAAGCUCUCCCUCCCACCCAAUUGAAAGAUUCACCUAGUGUUCUAUGUGUCUCAAAUAAUACUGUUUCAUCCUGGCACCCACCAUAUCACUCCCACUUUACCUGACGCAUUAACCUUCACAGUAUUUAACCCACCACAAGCCAUUUUAGAUCAUUGAUAUUCUAGAGACAAAUUGGAACUACUCAUGCAUUGUAAGGUAAAUGUAUUGUGGAAGCUUUUUAGGAUACAUUAACCACGUACAUUCCACGUCCUUGACUUCUCACUUGAGGACAAGCUCCAUUCCAAGUUAGGGGAAGAUGUACAAGAGACUGAGGAAAAGCGCAAUGGGGGAAUCGGUAAACCAUAAGACUGGUGGAGCUGAUCUGGUGCCUUCCCCAAGGGCGGUAGACUGGAAGACUGGUAGAUUUGAUCUGAGAGCCUGGAUCAGGUAUGGAAGACCACAAGACUGGGAGAGCCAAAUUCAUGCGACCGAAAGAGUAAACCAAUUUAAUUAAAGAAAGAAAACCAAGUUUUCUCUUUUCACACAGGUAUGAUAAGCGAGUUCUCAUUAUAGAAAUUAUGUAGCAAUCUACGGCUAUGAUUUGAUUAUAUUGAUCAGCAACAAUCUAUAAUAAUGAGU